AUGGAACAGAUUAUUGCAUUUUGCAUAUUACAUUCUAUAAUAAAGUUAUCUAGUGGUAAAUGCUGCAAUUUUCUCAAGCUCCAAAGAGAUUACAUCUUCUCCCUUUUAAGUUGUCUUGUGAUCCAUUUGAUUGUGGUAGUUGCAGGUUUCACUUUCUCCCCCCAUUCGAGAAGUAGCCACCUUUGCACUGCUGUGACACUAACACUUUACAAUGUGUUAGUCGGGUCAACCAAUAACAUAUUGCAUUAUGUUCCUGAUUAUGUACAGUGGCCUGGACACAACCUGCUGGCCACACAUCUUGACAUUUGGCCUUACAAAAUCCUUUACCCUUUGUUAGGUUGA
rnacentral:rRNA from 1 species